UUUAGAUCAAGGUCACAUUUGCAAAAGCUCUGUUGCCAGAACAGAUGCAGGCAUGUUCUGUGCAGCAUACUCCCUGCAAGCUGUAUUUCAAAAUGCUGCAUAACACACUUGCUCUGUCUUGGGGUGUCCGCACUAGGCCUUUCUUGUGUAUUGCAGCAGGGAUGUUUCGGAGCACUCCCGGCUUGCAGGCACCACACCCAGUAGUGCAGCUGUGAUGUCACUUAAGAGGCUCUUGUGACCUCACUCUCUGGAGCACUUAAGAACUGAUGCUAUGGACGGCCUCAGAGCAGCUUUGUCCCACUUGCAAGCAGGAGUGGUUGGAUGGGAUGUAGCUAGGUGUGUCCCUGCCAGACUACACUAAGGAUAUAUCCAGAAAGAAGACUGCCUGACUUGCUUUCUGUCUGGCACCUCUGAACCACAGCCCACAGAAGUGCUGUUAGUCUCCAGAGACCAUUAUCCUCAGUCAGUUUAUUCUUCUGUAAGUUAUUCAUAGGGGGAAUGUGCUGCCCAGGUAUCAAAUAUCUCAGCCUCUGUGGCCUAUGCACAUUUGUCACGGACACUCUCACUCGGUGGGAGCCAACCUUUUAGCUCCCCUGGACAUAACCUGGAUGCUCCA